UACGUAGGGCGCAAGCGUUUGUCCGGAAUUUAUUGGGCGUAAAGAGCUCGUAGGCGGCUUGUCACGUCGGGUGUGAAAGCCCGGGGCUUAACCCCGGGUCUGCAUUCGAUACGGGCUAGCUAGAGUGUGGUAGGGGAGAUCGGAAUUCCUGGUGUAGCGGUGAAAUGCGCAGAUAUCAGGAGGAACACCGGUGGCGAAGGCGGAUCUCUGGGCCAUUACUGACGCUGAGGAGCGAAAGCGUGGGGAGCGAACAGG
rnacentral:rRNA from 1 species